rnacentral:rRNA from 2 species
GAUGAACGCUGGCGGCGCGCCUAACACAUGCAAGUCGAACGGUUAAAGCACCUUUUAGGUGUGUAUAAAGUGGCGAACGGCUGAGUAACACGUGGGCAACCUGCCCUCCUCUUGGGGAUAGCCUCGGGAAACCGAGGAUAAUACCCGAUACUUCAAUGUGGCCGCAUGACGACAUUGAGAAAGCUUUUGCGGAGAAGGAUGGGCCCGCGGCCUGUUAGCUUGUUGGUGGGGUAGAGGCCUACCAAGGCAAUGAUGGGUAGCUGGGUUGAGAGACCGACCAGCCAGAUUGGGACUGAGACACGGCCCAGACUCCUACGGGAGGCAGCAGUGGGGAAUCUUGCACAAUGGGCGAAAGCCUGAUGCAGCGACGCCGCGUGCGGGACGAAGGCCUUUCGGGUUGUAAACCGCUUUCAGCAGGGACGAGGCGAAAGUGACGGUACCUGCAGAAGAAGCCCCGCUAACUACCA